CUUCGGAGAAGACCAAACAGAAUUAUUCGACUAUUUGCCUCCUCCUCCUCCCUGUCCUGACACACAGUUAAAGGAAAACAGCGAGGUCAACAGACCUGUUUCCUCCACUGCAUCAGCAGCAGCUCAACAUCCAAUCAAAUCAGCAUCAUCUGGUGGAACAAUCUGGUCAAUUUCUCCCAGAUCUGAUCGUGGUGAUUCGGACAUCGUGGACAGUCGCGUGGCAGCUCUCUUGGAGGAGCAGAGCGUAGAGUAUGAACCAGCAGACACCUUAUCUGAUACAGAUGUUGAUACAGCAGACAAAGAACUCCAGUUGAACACCGUCAGGAGAAAAGUCUCCCAGUUAUUGGAUGAUGCUUUCUUUCUCGCUGCUCCAAAACGCCUGUACAGCAGCCUACGCUGUAAGAAAAUUUCCCCGGCUGUCCAUGGAACCGUACGAUCUAGUCUACGAUCUCGAUCUGCAACACCACAGCUCGAAAGUGACACCAGGUGGGGCUUU